AGCGAACGCUGGCGGCAGGCCUAACACAUGCAAGUCGAACGAACCUUUCGGGGUUAGUGGCGGACGGGUGAGUAACACGUGGGAACGUGCCUUUAGGUUCGGAAUAACUCAGGGAAACUUGUGCUAAUACCGAAUGUUCCCUUCGGGGGAAAGAUUAAUCGCCUUUAGAUCGGCCCGCGUCUGAUUAGCUAGUUGGUUGAGGUAAUGGCUCACCAAGGCGACGAUCAGUAGCUGGUCUGAGAGGAUGAUCAGCCACAUUGGGACUGAGACACGGCCCAAACUCCUACGGGAGGCAGCAGUGGGGAAUAUUGCGCAAUGGGCGAAAGCCUGACGCAGCAAUGCCGCGUGAAUGAUGAAGGUCUUAGGAUUGUAAAAUUCUUUCACCGGGGACGAUAAUGACGGUACCCGGAGAAGAAGCCCCGGCUAACUUCGUG
rnacentral:rRNA from 1 species